GUACCUCUUUGGAAUAGUAGUGCUGUUGAAUACUUAGGGAACCCAGUUUCCAGGGGUAACUGGCCCGAUCAGCGAAUCGUCAUCCAGAGAAUCCUCCGUUGGUUCUAUAGACUGCUGGCUACGGCCGACAAUAAAUCCACAAUCAGAUGAAGGCGAAUUGAUUUCUCGAGAACCUUUGACAUUUCUCUUCAAAAUGCAGUUGGGGACAUCUAAUGUCAGUAUUUCUUGGCCGCGGAAAGCACAACGUGACGACCAGCGAACGUCAUUGGACUCGUACCAAACGCGAGCAGACGAGGUUCUUGUCAACAAUGCCGAUAGUACGAAACUGAGCCGAAAACAGAAAUCCAUCCUGUGAAUACACAAAAACGAAUGCAGAAUGUUGCCACACAAUGGCCACCUUUUUUUAAGUCUAAACUUUGUUGCAACUUCACAGAUAAAAACGUAACGCAUUUCCAGAUUUGUAAAAUAGUAG